rnacentral:rRNA from 1 species
CGCGUAGGCGGGCUCUCAAGUCUGGGGUGAAAUCUUUCGGCUUAACCGGAAAAUUGCCUUGGAUACUGGGAGUCUCGAGGGAGGUAGGGGCAUGUGGAACUUCCGGUGGAGCGGUGAAAUGCGUUGAUAUCGGAAGGAACGCCGGUGGCGAAAGCGACGUGCUGGACCUCUUCUGACGCUGAGGCGCGAAAGCUAGGGGAGCGAAGG